AGAUGAUGACAGAAAAGGAAGACGAAGAAGGGGCGAAAGAAAAUAUCUUUCUGUCUUAUUCUCUGAGGGGAGUUCCUCUGGUGUAACGGUGACAGACAGCAACAGGAUGGUUACUGUGUCACCAGGGACACGGACGCAAGCGAGGAGAGAGACGAGGGCAUGGAGUGCAGUCUGGGAUGAACACUGACCUGGAAUGGAUCAGCUGUCCGAUAUUAUCAAGAUGUCUUGCAGCUGUAUUUGUAUUUGUGUUGUAUUUGUGGAUGUGUGUGUGUGGCUUGUGUUUAUGUUUGUGUG